AUUUGACCCCACAGAACAAGAGAAAUUGGUAGCAAAAUGGAGACAGAAUUUCUGAUGUUUUGCCCUUGAUUUCACCAACGUAUAAUUAACAAUUAAAACUUGAGUUAAGUCAAAUUGCCAACAUCCGCUGGAUCAUUGAAAAAGCAAGAGCAUUCCAGAAAAAC